GGAAGGAAGCCAUCUAUCUCAGUGGCUAAAGAGUUGUUUCCUGAAGGUGAUGUGCAGGAGGACAUAGUGAUUUAGGGUAUUUUUGACUAGGAGGAUAACUUUUCCCCAAACCAAAUAUUCAUGCAUUUCCAAAUAGAGAUGUAGUUAAAAGGGUGUGAUAUAAAUGUGAGAGCAUUUCCUUUGACAAAAAUAAACUACUGCUGAGAGACAGUUGGUUUAGGUAAACUUAAUCUGAGACUGCAGAAUUCUGGGGAGUAACUGACAAGGUAAAGAAAGCUCCAGACCUGGGCAACAUUCCUACCCCAACAGUCAAACCUAGAGUAAAGGAAUAUUGGAAGUUGAACCCAUGAUGUCUUAGAGGUUUACAAAUGGAUUGUACUCAGUCACAUCUGAGCACCAUGGCAGACCACCCACCUGCAGGAUCAGUACACCUGCCUUAAAAAACCAACUGCAAUGAAAUACUUUUGAAUGGAGAAGCAUCUGGAAAUUGAGGAUAUCAGAGAAACUGCUUGCUGGUGCAGAGCUAACCUGACCACAAGAUGACACCCAUGUUAUCUGCUGGAGAUAGCCUGAUCAAAAACACUACUGUUGUGGAGAUGAUUCUUAUCUCCUAUAAUACCUGUACCUUUCCUCUGUCCAACCAUUAAAGGAAGCAGUUGCCUAAGGAUGUAUUAUAUGCAGGUCCAGAUGCUAAAGAAUACACUGCUGAGUUGGAGGUGGGAUUCAAUACUCAAGAAUUCUUGGUGUUCUCAGGGACACUUCCCUGCCCCCUGCUUACUUGUGUGCACUGAGCAUCUUCGGCCCCCAACAUGAUACCCACGUGGAAAAGGAUGACAUCGAGCAAAGAGCAUAUGUGGAAGCUUGUUCUCCCCACAACACACCCUCAGCUGCUUUUGACUCCAAAGUUUAAAGAGAGAAGACUUGCUUCCAAUGGCUGGCGCCACCCUCCGCAUCCACAUCCCAGAUUCAUAGAGAGGUGCACAGGAAGGAGGAAAGCAGGUGGCUUUCUAGGGGAACAAGAUGACACAGGCAUAGGAAAUUAAAUGGUAGUGAAUGAGCAAUGUUAAAACCUAGAAGAAGCAGUGGUAGAGAAGCAGAGAGGAGCUCAAGUGCUAAACCAGCGGCCCAGGAGAUGCACACCUUGCUGGACAAUUAGUAAGACCUUCCUAGGGGGGAAAUCUAAGUCCAUCUAGAAAUCUGAUUUCAGCCCAGACUGUGACUUCUGCCACUGAUGGUAAUGGUCCCUGUUCAGACAUUUCUGGUAAAGGAGAGACACUGGCUUCCUUAUGGACAUUCACAUAUGCAGGAUAAAUGUGGAAUUCCUGACCAAUAGAUAUUUAUAGCUGCUCAAGGGUCAAGAAUGGGAAUCUAACCACCCAACCUAAGAUUCUCAUCUAUAAAGAGGCCACCCCACCUUACCAGCUGAGGUCACCAUCUUGAACUCAUAAAGGUUCAGAAGAGAACACAAGCCCUGUUUUCGGGUCAAGAGCUUUGGAAUCAGUCACACUUGAAUAAAAAUUCAAAUGCUUUUACUAGUUAUUAGACCUCGUGUGAUUGUCUUACUUCCCCAGAUAUAAGAAAUUGUUGUAAAACAUACCACACAUGUACCAAAAAUGCUUGGCAUCAUGUACUGUAUAUAGUAUAUUUCCAAACUGGUAGUUUUGUUAUUUGUCC
ensembl:lncRNA